AAGAACCUUUAUAUUUUCUUAUGCCUAACAAUAUUUGUUUGUCUUCUAUACAAGUUUCUUUGUCUUUAGGUAUAGAGCAACUUCUCAAGGAGUAUGAGAAUGUUUUCCCUAGAGACAUUCCUCGUAACUUACCUCCUAAAAGGGUUAUUGAACACAACAUGGACCUUAUUCUCGGUGCAUCCCUUCCUAAUAGGCCAGUGAUUGACGUCGUA
rnacentral:lncRNA from 1 species